rnacentral:rRNA from 1 species
CGUGGGGUAGCAUGAUUGUAGCAAUACAGUUGAUGACGACCGGCAAACGGGUGCGGAACACGUACACAACCUUCCUACGUAGUGGGAAUAGCCCAGAGAAAUUUGGAUUAAUACCCCGUAACAUAGCGAUGUGGCAUCACAUUGCUAUUAUAGCUUCGGCGCUUGUUGAUGGGUGUGCGGCUGAUUAGGUAGUUGGCGGGGUAAUGGCCCACCAAGCCUUCGAUCAGUAGCUGAUGUGAGAGCAUGAUCAGCCACACGGGCACUGAGACACGGGCCCGACUCCUACGGGAGGCAGCAGUAAGGAAUAUUGGACAAUGGGCGCAAGGUCUGAUCCAGCCAUGCCGCGUGAAGGAUUAAGGUCCUCUGGAUUGUAAACUUCUUUUAUAGGGGACGAAAAAAGGGCAUUCUUGCUCACAUUGACGGUACCCUA